GAGGUCCGAUAGAGACAAGUACCGUGAGGGAAAGUUGAAAAGGACUUUGAAGAGAGAGUUCAAAAGGACGUGAAACCGUUAGAAGCUUAAACGGGUGGAACCGCGAAGGUCGAACGAGGGGAUUCAGCUCGCCGGUCUGCGGAAGCGGGCGGCGGUACAUGAGAAUUCCAGUGAGAGGACCCGGCGCAAACGACGACAUGCCGUGGCCCCGCCCCCGCCUCCGGAGUUGCCGGCGGGCUUACUUCUCCCUCCAGUAGGUCGCCGCGACCCGUCGCGGGGACCCCCAAGGCCGUCCCGGAUUGGUAGCCCAGGCGCAGCUCUGGGUGAUGACCGGCGGCGGUUCUGACGGGCCCCUGCGACGGUCACUGCCAGGAGGCCGCGUGACGCGGCCUCUCGCGGCGUGCAAGGGAUCGGUAAUCCACCCGACCCGUCUUGAAACACGGACCAAGGAGUCCAACAUGUGCGCGAGUCUAAGGGCGAACUAAACCCGGAGGCGAAAUGAAAGUGAGCUACUGUGUGACUUAUCUCACGGCAGGCCGAUCCCCGGCCGUCCGUUCCCGGGGGCUGUCCCCGCUCUCGGCGUGAGGAACUUAUCCGCUGGGCGGGGCGCUCUCGGGGCGGCGGCUAACCACGCUCCGCAGCGAGCCGGGGCGCAGGCCGAGGACUUGCCGCUCGGCGGCCCGGGAAGCGGGGUGCUCCGGCGCCCUCGACCCGGCGUCCGCCGGCAAGUACCUAAGAGCGCACACGUUGGGACCCGAAAGAUGGUGAACUAUGCCUGGCGAGGAUGAAGCCAGAGGAAACUCUGGUGGAGGUCCGAAGCAGUUCUGACGUGCAAAUCGAUUGUCAGAGCUGGGUAUAGGGGCGAAAGACUAAUCGAACCAUCUAGUAGCUGGUUCCCUCCGAAGUUUCCCUCAGGAUAGCUGGCAUUCAGGAUGAUGAGUUUCAUCCGGUAAAGCGAAUGAUUAGAGGCCUUGGGGGUGCAAUGCCCUCAACCUAUUCUCAAACUUUAAAUGGGUGAGAUGUGGAGCUUGCUUGAUGAUUAAACGUUGAAGCUCUAUGGUGGAAGAAUCAGAAUGUCUAGUGGGCCACUUUUGGUAAGCAGAACUGG
rnacentral:rRNA from 1 species